CAAUAGCGUAUAUUAAAGUUGUUGCGGUUAAAAAGCUCGUAGUUGGAUUUCUGCUGAGGAUGACCGGUCCGCCCUGUGGGUGUGCAUCUGGCUCAGCCUUGGCAUCUUCCUGAAGAACGUAGCUGCACUUGACUGUGUGGUGCGGUAUUUAGGACAUUUACUUUGAGGAAAUUAGAGUGUUUCAAGCAAGCGCACGCUUUGAAUACAUUAGCAUGGAAUAAUAAGAUAGGACCUUGGUUCUAUUUUGUUGGUUUCUAGAGCUGAGGUAAUGAUUGAUAGGGAUAGUUGGGGGCAUUCGUAUUUAACUGUCAGAGGUGAAAUUCUUGGAUUUAUGAAAGACGAACUACUGCGAAAGCAUUUACCAAGGAUGUUUUCAUUAA
rnacentral:rRNA from 1 species